rnacentral:tRNA from 1 species
GGGAUUGUGGCUCAGUGGUAGAGCACUCGCCUAGUGUGAGAACCUGGGUUCGAUCCUCAGCACCA